rnacentral:rRNA from 1 species
AUUGAACGCUGGCGGCAUGCUUUACACAUGCGAGUCGAACGGCCGCGCGGGCUUCGGCCUGGCGGCGAGUGGCGAACGGGUGAGUAAUGCAUCGGAACGUGCCCAGCCGUGGGGGCUAGCCCGGCGAAAGCCGGAUUAAUCCCGUAUCCGACCUGAGGGUGAAAGCGGGGGACCAAUAGGCCUCGACCUUUUGGCUGGGCCUAUGUCGGAUUAGCUAGUUGGUGGGGUAAAGGCUUACCAAGGCGACGAUCCGUAGCGGGUCUGAGAGGACGACCAGCCACACUGGGACUGAGACACGGCCCAGACUCCUACGGGAGGCAGCAGUGGGGAAUUUUGGACAAUGGGGGCAACCCUGAUCCAGCCAUGCCGCGUGCGUGAAGAAGGCCUUCGGGUUGUAAACCGCUUUUGUUCGGGAAGAAAUCCUCUGGGCUAAUACCCCGGGGGGAUGACGGUACCGGAAGAAUAAGCACCGGCUAACUACGUG